UGUAGGGGUGCAUGUAGGCACGGUCCUUGUGAUGCGGUACGUGAUGGUGUGUGAGUGGUAUUUGGUUUGUGUGGUUGGCGGGCUCUUUGCUUGUGCAUUGGACCGUUCACCAACAUACCUUUUCAUUGUAUGCUGCAAGUGCACCAUUUUGCCUUGGGCGACGUGUGGUCCCUAUGUUGGAUUCCGAUUAACGGUAUUGUUGUUGUCCCUUUAAAGAGUGAUAUUCGCUCUACGUCCGUAAAAGGAGGUCGAGCGGACCAUGAAACUUGACUCGUUAUCCUCCUGUUUUGUGAAAACAAGCAUGAUAGGGUUGGAKUAUGAUCUCAAGUUGGGCCCUAGGAUACAGAAAGUUGUGUGGGAGUUGAUGUAAAAACGUCGCAAACCCAAAGCGUUGGUACGCUAAUGAUGGAUGACAUUCGAGUGUGUUGUGAUUCUUUCAUUCUAGAAAGGUUCAUGCUCGCCGAUGUCGACCAAGGAGUGCUACCUGGUUGAUCCUG
rnacentral:misc_RNA from 1 species